rnacentral:tRNA from 1 species
AGGUGAGUAGCUCAACUGGCAGAGCACUGGUCUCCAAAACCAGGGGUUGCGGGUUCGAUUCCUGCCUCACCUG